GAUGAACGCUGGCGGCGUGCCUAAUACAUGCAAGUCGAGCGAACAGACGAGGAGCUUGCUCCUCUGACGUUAGCGGCGGACGGGUGAGUAACACGUGGAUAACCUACCUAUAAGACUGGGAUAACUUCGGGAAACCGGAGCUAAUACCGGAUAAUAUAUUGAACCGCAUGGUUCAAUAGUGAAAGACGGUUUUGCUGCCACUUAUAGAUGGAUCCGCGCCGCAUUAGCUAGUUGGUAAGGUAACGGCUUACCAAGGCAACGAUGCGUAGCCGACCUGAGAGGGUGAUCGGCCACACUGGAACUGAGACACGGUCCAGACUCCUACGGGAGGCAGCAGUAGGGAAUCUUCCGCAAUGGGCGAAAGCCUGACGGAGCAACGCCGCGUGAGUGAUGAAGGUCUUCGGAUCGUAAAACUCUGUUAUUAGGGAAGAACAAAUGUGUAAGUAACUAUGCACGUCUUGACGGUACCUAAUCAGAAAGCCACGGCUAACUACGCG
rnacentral:rRNA from 1 species